CCCUCCGGGCCAUAUGUUCCAAACUGGACUGUACUGGACUGGGAAGCUGUCUGAAACCUCCCAGUUGAACAGGAAGAAGCGCUCUCUCUGCUCAUGAGCUCUGACAGCACAGAGCUGUCUCUCCCUCCUCCGCCUCAGGAGAAGAGUUCGAGUCCCUCCACGACAAGAUCCUGAAGAAGGUGAUCGAUAAGGACAAGCACCUGGAGCCAGGGUAAUGAAGAUUGAGAAGAAGGUGAAACUGGAGGAGAAAUCCCAGGUGAUCGGAAAAAAGAAGGACAAGGAUAAAGAGCGGAGGGACAGGAAAGAGAAGGACCACUUCAAACUGAAACAGAAGAAGAAGAAGAAAAAGAAGAGGAAAUCCAAGCAGCACUGUUAUUCUGACUACGAUGACAUGUCCCUGUCCUUCCUGGAGCGAUCUAUCUACGGCGUCUACUCUUCAUCGUUCUUCCACUCCUUCACUUUUCCCUCCCUCCUCCUCCUGCUCCACCACCAAACAUUACCAGUACCCCGCGCCAUCCUCUCCGUCGACCUGACCGGAGAGAACCUGUCAGACAUAGACUUCCUGGAGGACUCGACCACAGAGAGCCUGCUGUUUAGUGGAGAUGAGUACAACCAGGACUUUGACUCUUUGAACAUGGAGGACUUCCAGGAGGAGGAUGAGGAUGGUACCCAGGAGAUCGUCCGCUGUAUCUGUGAGAUGGAUGAGGAGAAUGGAUUCAUGAUUCAGUGUGAGGAGUGUAUGUGCUGGCAGCACAGUGUGUGUAUGGGGCUUCUGGAGGAUAGCAUCCCGGACCAGUACAUAUGUUACAUCUGCAGAGACCCUCCAGGUCAAGGUGGAGUGCCAAAUAUCUGCAUGACAAAGACUGGUUGAACAAGGGUCAGAUGUACGGCUUGUCCUUCCUCUCUGAGAACUACUCUGAGCAGAACUGUAAGACCAGCGUGUCCACCCAUCAGCUGUUAGCAGACGUGUUCAGUGUCAACAACGUCCUUCACGGACUACAGCUGAAGAUGGACAUACUACAGAACAAACACAAUCCCAAUUUGCACUUCUGGGCUCGGUCAUGGGUGAACUCUGACGAGGACCAGCCCAUGGGCGGUCUCCCUGACUGCAUCCACUUGACAGACAACUCUCUGAACAACCACAACUCCCCCAAGACUGACACUUACAUCACCAGCGAACACAGCUACCAGAAACCCCAGCCCCGGACAGCUGGACAACUGGCUCUCUACAGACCGACCGGCUGCAGACCCCCACGACUCUAACAGCCAGGAGGGAGGAGGGGUGGGGGCGGACCUGGUGGUGGCUUAUCCACCCCGCCUCCCACUCCACCCACUUCACAGCAAAGGAACAGGAAAAAACAACUGCCCUGGCUGUGCCUGGCUCCCUGGCUAUGCCUGGCUGUCUGAAUGAGAGGGGACCAGACUCAGUGGAACAUGCCAGGAACUGUCUCCAGUGGCAGAUGAACCUCCUCACUCACAUAGAAGAUGUUCAGAACCAGGUGGCAGGCAGGAUGGACCUCAUAGAGAAGGAGCUUGAUGUUUGGAGAGCUGGCUGGACCUCAGUGGGGAGUUGGAGCCUCCGGACCCUCUGGCCAGGCUGCCUCAGCUUCAACACCGCAUCAAGCAGCUCCUCACAGACCUGAGCAAGGUGCAACAGAUGAGCACCCUGUGUUCUGUCUGACUUUGGGUUGGCCUGACCUGGCUAGAGUCUGGCCCGUGUCUGYCCUGAGUCUGGCCCGGGUUAGCAUGGCAACAGCACUAGGCAUCUGGUGUCUUCACGGAGGAGAGUCCUAUCCAAACCCAGGGUGAACCCCGUCCUCUCUCUCUGGCACCGAAGCACACCGUCUGCUGUGGUCCAUAGACUGUCAAACUGAGCACACCUCCUCCUCCUAGACAGACUGUGGGAGGGAAGCUUCAGUUGGAUCAAUACAAGGGGGAUGAARGGAUGUAUAGAGACCAACAGGAAAGAGUUGAGUCCAGUGGACUCUUGGUAUUAGAAAGAAGAGUGUUUUGAGUUGGAGUAACUGACAAGUAUUGAGUUGACGAAAUGGGACUUCUGGAUGAAAAGUACCAGUUUAAUAKAGUGUUAGUUUGUAGGGCCCAGGACYUUUUGUUGUUUUAWCUAAGACUCCCUGUUAUGAAGUUCCCACAACGUUUUCAUAACCAGGAAGGAGGGUUUGUCCACGUACAUUAAAUCGUUCACACGCAUUCUAUGAUAWAGCUGAAAUUCAAUUUAAUUAAAUUAGAUUAUUAAAAUGCAAUGAGAUUACCUCAUCAUGGGCCCGUCCCAAAUAGAACCCUAUUCCCUUUAUAGUGCACUACUUUAGACCGUAGUACACUACAGUAUGUAGGGAAUAUAGGGGUCCAUUUGGGAAACAUCCCAUCACURUCUUGCCUCAGUAGGAGGAGAGCUGUAGAAGCCUUGCUUGUGUGAUAUGAGUUAAUGCAYAAACUAAAUCACCAUGGUGAUUGUWAGAUGAUAUUGUAGCAAGCUUUAACCUGCCAGAAAUCUGUUCUGUUUUGGAAGCGUGGUCUGAAACUAGUUUUGAGAUGUUGUAACAUUUCGAGUUCCCCKUCAAGUUCACACUAUCGUUAGUUGGUUUGUUAAAAAAKCAGUGCUAACAUCAGUCAUUUAGCGACUGKAUUCUGAUUUCAUUUCAGGAAUCUAUUGCCACCUUUWACAAUCAUUAACUUUCAUUCUCUUAUGUGCCAAGUCUGAAAGUAUGACCCACCAAGUUUACAAUGUUAUCAUUCUCACUGAUUCAACAUGGGGAUGAGUAUAUUUUACUGGUGUAUAUAAUAUAAUCCACAGACAGACAUACGACUGUGUGUCUUCAGGAUAUUCCAUGACAACCACGGAAAUGGCCUUGAUGUCACGGGGACAUCUGUGGCACGUUUGUCUCUGUGUGUGUAUACGUCCCGAAAUGGACCCUAUUCCCUAUGUAGUGCACUACUUUUGACAGAGCCCUAUGGAGCCUGUUCAAAAGUAGUGCGCCGUGUAGGGAAUAGGGUGCCAUUUUGGGGACGUAGCCUCUGUCUGUGGGGUUUUUGAUGCUUCAGUGCGGCCCCAGUAUGGCUGCUACGUCACAUAACACCACAAUGUCUUCUGACUAAGUGGACACGUUUGAAGCUAAAUUGCCAGGAUGUAAAUGUGUAUUAAAAAGCAAUGUGUUGAUUGCUGUUGUUGGGUCAUUUUAUGUACAGUUUCUAUGACUGUAAAGAGGAGGAAACAUCUAUAGAAGACACGAGGAUAAAAUAUACUUGAAGAAAAAUGACUAUGUUUAUUUAGCGUUUCUAUGAACCUGUAUAAAAAGUGUUUUAGAACCAGCCGCAAGGGAAUAAAACAAAGUAGAUUUUUAUUGACAUAUACCAGCUGUACAUUAAGAGUUUUUUAAGACCGGUUCUUUAUGUGAUUUACUACAUGUACAAUGCCAUUAAAAAAGAUUUCUGGAUAUUUUA